CCUACGGGAGACAGCAGUGAGGAAUAUUGGUCAAUGGGCGCGAGCCUGAACCAGCCAAGUAGCGUGAAGGAUGACUGUCCUACGGGUUGUAAACUUCUUUUAUAAAGGAGUAAAGUGAGGCACGUGUGCCUUUUUGUGUGUACUUUAUGAAUAAGGAUCGGCUAACUCCGUGCCAGCAGCCGCGGUAAUACGGAGGAUCCGAGCGUUAUCCGGAUUUAUUGGGUUUAAAGGGAGCGUAGAUGGGUUGUUAAGUCAGUUGUGAAAGUUUGCGGCUCAACCGUAAAAGUGCAAUUGAAACUGGCGGUCUUGAGUACAGGUGAGGUAGGCGGAAUGCGUGGUGUAGCGGUGAAAUGCUUAGAUAUCACGAAGAACUCCGAUUGCGAAGGCAGCUUACUAAACUGCCACUGACAUUGAUGCUCGAAAGUGUGGGUAUCAAACAGGAUUAGAUACCCGUGUAGUC
rnacentral:rRNA from 1 species